rnacentral:lncRNA from 1 species
AGAAUUUUUCAAUCAUCAACGGCCAGUUGAUGAGUGAAUCCCGUCGGUGUGUAUUCUUUUGGAUUGCUUAUGCUCGGCUGGCUGGUGAUACGUACUCCCUCCGUCCGGAAAUACUUGUCCUGAAAAUAAAGAAAAUGAAUGUAUCUAUAACUAAAAUAAGUCUAGAUACAUCCAUUUCUAGAACAAGUAUUUCCGGACGGAGGGAGUACACACGUAGUACCUCCUGCUUGCCAGCCAGCCAGUGGAGUGUAGAGGUCGAUCGAGCUGGCCAUCGAUUGGUGUAGUACAUAUCUCUCUAUAUUUUCCAUAUAGUACGUAAUGCAUCUCAGUAGAUCGCUUCUUUCAUUGAUUAAUUUGUUUGGCGUACGUAAUAACACAAUUCAACGAGAUUGAUAUGGUAUACAGAGAGUACAACUAAUUCUUCCAUGUACUACACCAGACUAGCUAGUAGUACUAGCAGUUGGGUAAAG